rnacentral:rRNA from 1 species
UGAUGCAGCACGCCGCGUGAGGGACGACGGCCUUCGGGUUGUAAACCUCUUUUAGCAGGGAAGAAGCGAAAGUGACGGUACCUGCAGAAAAAGCGCCGGCUAACUACGUGCCAGCAGCCGCGGUAAUACGUAGGGCGCAAGCGUUAUCCGGAAUUAUUGGGCGUAAAGAGCUCGUAGGCGGUUUGUCGCGUCUGCUGUGAAAUCCGGAGGCUCAACCUCCGGCCUGCAGUGGGUACGGGCAGACUAGAGUGCGGUAGGGGAGAUUGGAAUUCCUGGUGUAGCGGUGGAAUGCGCAGAUAUCAGGAGGAACACCGAUGGCGAAGGCAGAUCUCUGGGCCGUAACUGACGCUGAGGAGCGAAAGGGUGGGGAGCAAACAGGCUUAGAUACCCUGGUAGUCCACCCCGUAAACGUUGGGAACUAGUUGUGGGGUCCA